rnacentral:rRNA from 1 species
CAGCCGCCGCGGGAAUACGUAGGGGGCAAGCGUUAUCCGGAAUAACUGGGCGUAAAGGGUGCGCAGGUGGUUUAACAAGUUAGUGGUGAAAGGCAUAGGCUCAACCAAUGUAAGCCAUUAAAACUGUUUAACUUGAGUGCAGGAGAGGAAAGUGGAAUUCCUAGUGUAGCGGUGAAAUGCGUAGAUAUUAGGAGGAAUGCCGAUGGGGAAGCCAGCUUACUGGACAGAUACUGACGCUGAAGCGCGAAAGCGUGGGUAGCAAACAGGAUUAGAUACCCCUGUAGUCCCUGUCUCUUAUACC